CGGCAGGCCUCUUUUUGGGGGGGUGGGCUGGCUGGAACCUGGCUCCACAGCCUGCCAAGGAGGCCCCAGAUGGGCCAAGGACUAUAGGGGUCCCGCUGCCCUCCCCCAAACCUCCCCUCCCUUCUCUCCCUCUCUUUCUCGGCUGGCUAUCGACCGGGGCUGUGACAUGGUAGAUCAAUACGGCAGGGAUAUAAAGCCGGCUGGCUGGCUGCCUGCCUCUGCCUCUGCCUCUCCCUCUCUCCCUGCUUGCCUUCCUUCCCUUUCUCAGAGCCGCACCCCCCCCCCCCACCGCCAACCUCCCCCCCAGCAGGAGAGUUUAGGGAGGCUGAGAGUUUGGACAGCCAGGAGAGGGGGUCUACAUCUCUGUGUGGCUCUCUCUGGAGACAAAAAGCUAGAUGUGGACUUGUACAAACCCUACUCGCAAGACUGGAAAGAGACCCAAGCUCAGAAUAAGGAGGGAGCGGGGCACCAUGGAGAAGCAGAUACCCGGAUGAAAUCAAGCAAAGGAAAAAAGAAGGGGACAGGGUGGAGCGCCAGGAUGAGGAAGACGAGAGGAAGGAAGCCAGAAGCUGGACAAUGCCAGGGGGUGACUUGCAAGGAACUUUGCUAAAGCCACAUAGGGUCAGACUGUGGACCGCCCUCUGUCUACCAGCCCCCUAUUUGGAGUUAGAGCCGAGUGCCUGCCCUCGGCCCCUGGGGCUCCAAGCCAGCCAGAACAGUGGGGACUUGGGCCUUCACUUGCUCGGGGCCUGGGAUGCCUGGGACCCAGCAGUCCCUGAAGCUGCCUCCAGUCAAUGGCCAUUUGCAUCUCCUCCACAACCAUUCGCCCCGCCCCGAGGCUGACAGACACUCCCAGUCCUGGGUGGGUGACAGGUCUCUCCACCCACCUAGUGACAGCAAAGGCAGCCAAAGGGAUUAAGUGAUUUUGUAACACCUAGGAGCAUGCUACCAGUACGCACUCGCACUUGUACAAGCACACAGGCCGAAGCCUAAGGCAUACACCCGCUGAGGAGCUCACUGCUGCCCUCAGGACCACGAGCCCCGCCCCCACCGUGGGGCCGGCCCAUGUCCAGGGAACCGCCCCCAUACUGCACUUCCUUCCUGCCCACCCAGCACCCACCCAAUUCCUGCAACUGGCAAGGCCCCUCCACAGCGGAACAGUGGCUAACUGGGCCUGGGGCAUCAAGGAAACCCCCGACCCCACCUACUGACUUCUUGGUUCUGGUCUGCAGAACACCUGCAAUGCCACCCAGGCCUGCAUUUCGGAUCCUGGGGCAUCCUGCUGCCGUACUCAUAAUGUCACCCCCAGGAGGAGGCAACCACCUUGUGGCUCCAUGUCCCCGCCUCUUAAGCAGCCCUGGGUUCUCUCAAGACCCCUCACUAGACCCGGCAAGAGAAGCCUGUCACCCCCAGCUGAGCUGGUGUGUCUGAGGUAAUCCAGACUCCCCCUUAGGGUGUGCGGGGGGAGGGGCCCAGGCACCCCUGAGUGCUGGUGUCUGAGCCACCUGUGAGACUCCAAGGCCUCAUCCACACCCAAAGCCACCAUGUCGUUUUGUGGAAGGAUGGAAGGAGACAAGGUGCGGAUAGACCUGCUUCCUGCCCAGCACUGGGAGGGCCUCAGAUGCCCAAUGGACAGUAGCUGGCCAGGCCAGAAUCCACGGUCCCCAAUACUGAUCCAUCCACUGGAACAGUAACUUACACCUCAGCUUCUCCUAACCCUUCAGGAGCCCACUCACCGCCUCCUCCUCUCAAAGACUGCCUGAGGCCCCGGAGCAGGUCAGUCACAUGAUGCUCUCUCCCGACCCAGCGCCUGGCAGACCUGUGGGUUUGGGGUAGUAGUGUUUAUUCCAACUGCCCACCAGCCUGGGGCCCCUCAGAGGCUAGAGGGGUCUGCCCCCUGCCCCGAGUCACAAGGCCUGGCACAAUAGAAACCUCCAAAAAAUGUUGGCUGCAGGAAUAAAUGGAUGGAUGUGGGUUUAUGUGUCCGUGUGCUCACUUAUUUAUUCUUUCAGCAAAUCCUUAUUGAGCAUUUGCACUAUGCCAGGGACUGGGUGUCCACAGCCUAUGGCCAGGGGAGGGGGGAGUUACACACACAAUAUAUGAUCAGAUAUGGUAACAGAGGUAACAGCACUCAGGGGCAGGAAUGGGGGCCAAUGAAGGCUUGUGGUGGGGAGGGGGUGGUCAGGGAGCCUUAGAUGGAGAACUGAGGGAGGCAGAGGGGAGGGGAAGGAGCCCCGUGGGCGCAGGGGAUGACCAGCACCUCCAGGACUGGAGGAGGUCCCUGCACUGAGGACGCCUCCAGGCACCCAUGCAGAAACACUCAUCUUCCAGGUGCGGCUCUAAGGGAAGGACAGUGGGGGUGGGGCCAAUGUUUGUUGUAGUUGUUUUGUGACAAAAUUAUAUACCUAAGAGAGCGUGGCCUCCUACAAACAUGUCUCCCUGGGGGGAGGGGCGGCACGAACUUUCAUGUGAACCCCACAGAUAUUUUGGUGGCAGCCUUCAGGGCCCACUCACAGACUCCCAUCAGCCAAACAUCUCCUGUUAUUACAUCUGUCUCUAGGUUCUAUCAAAAAAAAACACAGGUAGCCCCAGUGUUAUCCAGCCCCACCGUUGCUAAAUUUAUCAGAGCUGGUACCUAGUAAGAUUUCAGGGGUUAUUCCCAAAGCAUGUCCCUCCCCACCUGCCCAACCAAGCAACAAGGAUCCCAGAAAUGGCCACCCUGAGGAGAUUCCAGUCACUGUGGUGGGUUCUGUGAGGUCAAAGAGGGCUCGCAGGUCAGGCAGACCUGAACGCAAAAUCUACCUCUACCGCUCACUUGCCUGAGGCCACUUGGCCGCUGCCCCUCUCUGUGCCUCAGUUUCCUUUUCUGGCAACAGGGGGCUACCAUUCGCCUCACAGGUUUGCACUGAGGAUUAAUGCCAAAUGCCCAGACUAGGUAAGCCCUGGCAUGGAGGUGGCCCAGUAAGUCUCAGUUUCCUUAUGAGGAUGCAACAGCUCUUGGCACCUGUCACCAAUUCUGUCAGGCAUGUGUCCAUGAGACCUUGGAUACUUAACAAAUAUCUGUUUGAACAAAGAGCUAAUACCAGAGGCUUGACUGCAAUCUCCACCAACUCUGAAACGUAAUUCCUUUAACAGCCUCUUAUUUUAACCGGACUUUCGGGCGUUCCUCAAAGUCAGCCUCUAGCCCCCAAACAAAUUCUGCAACCAGGAAGCUCCUUGACCCUCUUGUUUUUAUUUUCAUUUUAUUCUAAGUAGGCUCCAUGGCCAAUGUGGGGCUUGUACUCAUGACCCUGAGAUUAAGGGUCACGUGUUCUACCGACUCAGCCCCUCCUUGACCCUCUUUUCAAUGUCAAGAGCAUCAUGGGACGCGAGUGUUCCUGGGAAAGCUGCAAUUCUGGCUCCCCAGAGAAGGCACAGAGCUUGUAUUCAGACCCUUCCAUUUCGUUCCAUUCAGAACCAGGUCCAUGGAUGGGCAGCAGGAGUCCGUGGAGAUCCGGAGUAGCAAUACAACUGGGGAGAUGUAGGGAUGUGUUUUCCCGGGAGGAAGUCUAUACUAAUUCCUGCACGUCUAGAAAUCUGUGAGCCAAAGAUUACUCGA
ensembl:lincRNA